rnacentral:other from 1 species
CGCUAUCAUCAUUAUUUUACUAUUUCCUUCAUUGUGGUCCCAGCGGCCAGAUAAUUCGUUAGUGUUACGGCCGGUCUUUGACCGGCUUUUUUA